rnacentral:rRNA from 1 species
GACGAACGCUGGCGGCGUGCCUAAUACAUGCAAGUCGAACGCACUCUCGUUUAGAUUGAAGGAGCUUGCUCCUGAUUGAUAAACAUUUGAGUGAGUGGCGGACGGGUGAGUAACACGUGGGUAACCUGCCCUAAAGUGGGGGAUAACAUUUGGAAACAGGUGCUAAUACCGCAUAAAACCUAACACCGCAUGGUGUAGGGUUGAAAGAUGGUUUCGGCUAUCACUUUAGGAUGGACCCGCGGUGCAUUAGUUAGUUGGUGAGGUAAAGGCUCACCAAGACCGUGAUGCAUAGCCGACCUGAGAGGGUAAUCGGCCACACUGGGACUGAGACACGGCCCAGACUCCUACGGGAGGCAGCAGUAGGGAAUCUUCCACAAUGGACGAAAGUCUGAUGGAGCAACGCCGCGU